AUUUGUGAUAAUCAUGAUAAGUGAGCUUUUGGAAGAUGGAAUGGCCCCAUGGCCAUUGAUUCAACAUUACUUUUUAUCAUAAUUAAGGGGCCAUUUUAUGCAGCCGAAAGGGUUACACGGUUUAUAUAUGAUUUUCUGAAAUUUAGUGGUACAGGCCUAUAUAUUAUACUUUAAACCACACAAAGCAAGAAGACAUACGAGUGUGGAACAAGAAAAAUGUGCUCACGACUCACGUAGACUCCAAGCAUUAAAAAAAAAGUGAAUACCCCCUUUUUUUCUUGGUUGAGAAAUCUGGACCUUAAUUAUUCCAAUUUUUCUAUUGUGAAAAAGAACAUUCCAACAUUUUAAAAUUUUUCUGAAAUUUGGUGGUGCAGCCUAUAUUAUACUUUGACUACACGGGCAAGAACACAUACGAGUAUGGAACAAGAAAAAUGUGCUCACGUAGACUGCAAGCAUUAAAAAGAAAAUGAGAGAACUUUUUUUUUUGGUGGAGCCUUAAAUGUUUUGUUUAGGAAAAUUAUGACAUCAAAGAAACCAGAUAAGAUUGAUAGAGCAUGCAUGCUGGUUAGUCUUGGAAAAGUGAAGCAC